AUUGGUGUGGUUGUUGCUGGCCCUUUCGGGGGCAUGUGCACACCCACCAUCCUCAUCUCUCCACCUGUGCACCUCUUGUAGACCUGAAUUGACUUUCCGAGGCAACUCGGUCGGGAAGAUUGCUGUGCUCUGUGAGCCAGCUUUCUUUGCAUGUCUAGGCCUAUGUUUUUCAUAUACCCCUAUAGAAUGUAACAGAAUGUAUCAUUGGGCCUUCCUAUAAACCUUAUACAACUUUCAGCAACGGAUCUCUUGGCUCUCGCAUCGAUGAAGAACGCAGCGAAAUGCGAUAAGUAAUGUGAAUUGCAGAAUUCAGUGAAUCAUCGAAUCUUUGAACGCACCUUGCGCUCCUUGGUAUUCCGAGGAGCAUGCCUGUUUGAGUGUCAUUAAAUUCUCAACCUUAUUAACUUUUGUUGAUAAUGGAUUGGAUUGUGGGGGUUUCUUUUGCUGGAUUCUUCACAGAGAUCAGCUCCCCUUAAAUGCAUUAGCUGGUGCCCCGCGUGGACCAUCUAUUGGUGUGAUAAUUAUCUACGCCGUGGAUGUCUGCAAUCAUAUGGGUUUUGCACUGCUUCUAACCGUCUGUUCAUUCGGACAAUACAUGACAAUUUGACCUCAAAUCAGGUAGGACUACCCGCUGAACUUAAGCAUAUCAAUAAGCGGAGGAAAAGAAACUAACAAGGAUUCCCCUAGUAACUGCGAGUGAAGCGGGAAAAGCUCAAAUUUAAAAUCUGGCGGUCUCCGGCCGUCCGAG
rnacentral:rRNA from 1 species